AUUGAACGCUGGCGGCAUGCCUUACACAUGCAAGUCGAACGGCAGCGGACCUUCGGGUGCCGGCGAGUGGCGAACGGGUGAGUAAAGUAUCGGAACGUACCUUUCAGUGGGGGAUAACGUAGCGAAAGUUACGCUAAUACCGCAUAUUCUCUGAGGAGGAAAGCAGGGGACCUUCGGGCCUUGCGCUGAUGGAGCGGCCGAUAUCAGAUUAGCUAGUUGGUGGGGUAAAGGCCUACCAAGGCGACGAUCUGUAGCGGGUCUGAGAGGAUGAUCCGCCACACUGGGACUGAGACACGGCCCAGACUCCUACGGGAGGCAGCAGUGGGGAAUUUUGGACAAUGGGCGCAAGCCUGAUCCAGCAAUGCCGCGUGUGUGAAGAAGGCCUUCGGGUUGUAAAGCACUUUAGCCUGGAAAGAAAAAACUUUGGUUAACACCCAAAGUCUUGACGGUACCAGGAGAAUAAGCACCGGCUAACUCUGUGCCAGCCGCCGCCGUAAAAC
rnacentral:rRNA from 1 species